rnacentral:snoRNA from 1 species
AAGCAUUUAAGUGUGUGUUAAACAACUACUGAAUACUAAAUAAAAAUUUUGGCCAAAACCAAAAAAAAAAAAAGGAAACCACCAGGAGGAGGCGCAGUGUUCUCUCCUGAGCAUGGAGCCGGCUUUUGGGCUCUUGGUGUUGCUUCGCUGCAACUGCCACUUGCCAUUGAUGAUCGUUCCUCUUUCCCUUUUGGAGGGAGUAAAAGGGAGAGGACCCAGUCUGAGUGGU